rnacentral:rRNA from 1 species
GAGUUUGAUCCUGGCUCAGGAUGAACGCCGGCGGUGUGCCUAAUACAUGCAAGUCGUACGCACUGGCCCAACUGAUUGAUGGUGCUUGCACCUGAUUGACGAUGGAUCACCAGUGAGUGGCGGACGGGUGAGUAACACGUAGGUAACCUGCCCCGGAGCGGGGGAUAACAUUUGGAAACAGAUGCUAAUACCGCAUAACAACAAAAGCCACAUGGCUUUUGUUUGAAAGAUGGCUUUAGCUAUCACUCUGGGAUGGACCUGCGGUGCAUUAGCUAGUUGGUAAGGUAACGGCUUACCAAGGCGAUGAUGCAUAGCCGAGUUGAGAGACUGAUCGGCCACAAUGGAACUGAGACACGGUCCAUACUCCUACGGGAGGCAGCAGUAGGGAAUCUUCCACAAUGGGCGCAAGCCUGAUGGAGCAACACCGCGUGAGUGAAGAAGGGUUUCGGCUCGUAAAGCUCUGUUGUUGGAGAAGAACGUGCGUGAGAGUAACUGUUCACGCAGUGACGGUAUCCAACCAGAAGGUCACGGCUAACUACG